GGGUGCGACCAUACCAUCACUAAUGCACCGAAUCCCAUCAGAACUCCGCAGUCAAGUGUGCUCGGGCGAGAGCAGUUGUAACACCCC
rfam:Citrus clementina cultivar Clemenules unplaced genomic scaffold scaffold_9, whole genome shotgun sequence.